AAAAAAAAAAAAAAAAAAAAAAAAAAAAAAAAAAAUUAAAGUUAAAAAUUGAUCCAAUCAAUCAUUUUCCAUUUCACUUGAGAAGAAUCUUAACUGCAGCCAUAGCAGCAAUCCCUUCUCCUGUCUCUUCCACUUCACAAGAAGGAGUUUCACCUCCAGGAAUGACCCAAAAGUGCCGUGAAGCAAUGUGAGAAAUUAAAUUUUGAUCAAUCUUUUUCUCUUUUUUCAU
rnacentral:ribozyme from 13 species